AGCGAACGCUGGCGGCCGGCCUAACACAUGCAAGUCGAACCAACUCUUCGGAGUGAGUGGCGGACGGGUGAGUAACACGUGGGAACUGGCCUUUAGGUUCGGAAUAACUCAGGGAAACUUGCGCUAAUACCGAAUGGGCCCUUCGAGGGAAGGAUUUAUCGCCGCCAGAGCGGCCCGCGUCUGAUUAGCUUGUUGGUGAGGUAAUGGCUCACCAAGGCGACGAUCAGUAGCUGGUCUGAGAGGAUGACCAGCCACAUUGGGACUGAGACACGGCCCAAACUCCUACGGGAGGCAGCAGUGGGGAAUCUUGCGCAAUGGGCGAAAGCCUGACGCAGCCAUGCCGCGUGGAUGAUGAAGGUCUUAGGAUUGUAAAAUCCUUUCACCGGUGAAGAUAAUGACUGUAGCCGGAGAAGAAGCCCCGGCUAACUUCGUGCCAGCCGCCGCCGUAAGAC
rnacentral:rRNA from 1 species